rnacentral:rRNA from 1 species
AUUGAACGCUGGCGGCAGGCCUAACACAUGCAAGUCGAGCGGAGCGGCGGACGGGUGAGUAAUGCCUAGGAAUCUGCCUGGUUGUGGGGGAUAACGUCCGGAAACGGGCGCUAAUACCGCAUACUAUCAGAUGAGCCUAGGUCGGAUGAGCUAGUUGGUGGGGUAAUGGCCGACCAAGGCGACGAUCCGUAACUGGUCUGAGAGGAUGAUCAGUCAGACUGGAACUGAGACACGGUCAAGACGCAUACGGGAGGCAGGAGUGGGGAAUAUUGGACAAUGGGCGAAAGCCUGAAGCAGCCAUGCCGCGUGAGUGAAGAAGGUCUUCGGAAUGUAAAGCACGUUAAGUUGGGAGGCGUUACCAACAGAAUAAGCACCGGCUAACUUCGUGCCAGCAGCCGCGGUAAUAC